UACGUAGGUGGCAAGCGUUGUCCGGAUUUACUGGGCGUAAAGGAUGCGUAGGCGGACAUUUAAGUCAGAUGUGAAAUACCAGAGCUUAACUUGGGUGCUGCAUUUGAAACUGGGUGUCUAGAGUGCAGGAGAGGUAAGUGGAAUUCCUAGUGUAGCGGUGAAAUGCGUAGAGAUUAGGAAGAACACCAGUGGCGAAGGCGACUUACUGGACUGUAACUGACGCUGAGGCAUGAAAGCGUGGGGAGCAAACAGG
rnacentral:rRNA from 1 species